rnacentral:sRNA from 1 species
UGCAUAUCAAUAAGCGGAGGAAAAGAAACCAACAGGGAUUGCCCUAGUAACGGCGAGUGAAGCGGCAACAGCUCAAAUUUGAAAUCUGGCUCUAUUUUGGAGUCCGAGUUGUAAUUUGUAGAGGGCGCUUUGGCGUCGGCAGCGGUCUAAGUUCCUUGGAACAGGACGUCACAGAGGGUGAGAAUCCCGUAUGUGGUCGCGUGCCUUCGCCGUGUAAAGCCCCUUCGACGAGUCGAGUUGUUUGGGAAUGCAGCUCUAAAUGGGAGGUAAAUUUCUUCUAAAGCUAAAUACUGGCCAGAGACCGAUAGCGCACAAGUAGAGUGAUCGAAAGAUGAAAAGCACUUUGGAAAGAGAGUCAAAAAGCACGUGAAAUUGUUGAAAGGGAAGCGCUUGCAGCCAGACUUGCCUGCGGUUGCUCAUCCGGGCUCUCGCCCGGUGCACUCUUCCGUAGGCAGGCCAGCAUCAGUUUGGGCGGCUGGAUAAAGGCCUCUGUCAUGUACCUUCCCUCGGGAAGGCCUUAUAGGGGAGGCGUAAUGCAGCCAGCCUGGACUGAGGUCCGCGCAUUUGCUAGGAUGCUGGCGUAAUGGCUGUAAGCGGCCCGUCUUGAAACACGGACCA